CAAUAGCGUAUAUUAAAGUUGUUGCGGUUAAAAAGCUCGUAGUUGGAUUUCUGUUGAGGACGGCCGGUCCGCACUAUGUGCGUGUAUCUGGUUCGGCCUUGGCAUCCUCUUGAGGAACGUAUCUGCGCUUGAUUGCGUGGAGCGGUAUUCAAGACUUUUACUUUGAGGAAAUUAGAGUGUUCACGGCAGGCAAGCGCCUUGAAUACGUUAGCAUGGAAUGAUAAUAUAGGAUCUUGGUUCUAUUUUGUUGGUUUCUAGAGCUAAGGUAAUGAUUAAUAGGGAUAAUUGGGGGCAUUUGUAUUAACGCGUCAGAGGUGGAAUUCUUGGAUUGCGUUACGACAAACUACUGCGAANGNAUUUGGNAAGGAUGUUUNCAUUG
rnacentral:rRNA from 1 species